AUACGACUGUCGGCAACGGAUAUCUAGGCUCUCGCAUCGAUGAAGAACGUAGCAAAAUGCGAUACUUGGUGUGAAUUGCAGAAUCCCGUGAAUCAUCGAGUUUUUGAACGCAAGUUGCGCCCGAGGCCAUC
rnacentral:rRNA from 2 species